rnacentral:rRNA from 1 species
AUGCAACGCGAAGAACCUUACCAAGGCUUGACAUACUACAGAUUUCUUUGAAAGAGGAAAGUGCCUUCGGGAAUGUAGAUACAGGUGGUGCAUGGCUGUCGUCAGCUCGUGUCGUGAGAUGUUGGGUUAAGUCCCGCAACGAGCGCAACCCUUAUUUUUAGUUGCUAAUUUAUUUUAGGUUUUCUAGAAAGACUGCCGGUGACAAACCGGAGGAAGGUGAGGAUGACGUCAAGUCAGCAUGCCCCUUAUGCCUUGGGCUACACACGUGCUACAAUGGUUAAGACAAAGAGUUGCGAGUUCGUGAGAGUCAGCUACUCUCAUAAACUUAGCCUAAGUUCGGAUUGUAGGCUGCAACUCGCCUGCAUGAAGUCGGAAUCGCUAGUAAUCGCUGGUCAGCCAUACUGCGGUGAAUCCGUUCCCGGGCCUUGUACACACCGCCGGUCACA